rnacentral:sRNA from 1 species
AAAAAAAGAAGAGAGAGAGCGUAGAAAGUUUUUCAAGUGAGAAACUAUGAGAUACUCUCUACAAGCUAUCUUUACAUUUUUCUCCUUUCAAUUGGUUUAAUUUUUUAUUAAAAUAAAAAUUUAAUCAUAUAAUAAA